GUCGAACGAGCGAGAGAGAGCUUGCUUUCUCGAGCGAGUGGCGAACGGGUGAGUAACGCGUGAGGAACCUGCCUCAAAGAGGGGGACAACAGUUGGAAACGACUGCUAAUACCGCAUAAGCCCACGGUGCCGCAUGGCACAGAGGGAAAAGGAGCAAUCCGCUUUGAGAUGGCCUCGCGUCCGAUUAGCUAGUUGGUGAGGUAACGGCCCACCAAGGCAACGAUCGGUAGCCGGACUGAGAGGUUGAACGGCCACAUUGGGACUGAGACACGGCCCAGACUCCUACGGGAGGCAGCAGUGGGGAAUAUUGCACAAUGGGGGAAACCCUGAUGCAGCGACGCCGCGUGGAGGAAGAAGGUCUUCGGAUUGUAAACUCCUGUUGUUGGGGAAGAUAAUGACGGUACCCAACAAGGAAGUGACGGCUAACUACGUGCCAGCAGCCGCGGUAAAACGUAGGUCACAAGCGUUGUCCGGAAUUACUGGGUGUAAAGGGAGCGCAGGCGGGAAGACAAGUUGGAAGUGAAAUCUAUGGGCUCAACCCAUAAACUGCUUUCAAAACUGUUUUUCUUGAGUAGUGCAGAGGUAGGCGGAAUUCCCGGUGUAGCGGUGGAAUGCGUAGAUAUCGGGAGGAACACCAGUGGCGAAGGCGGCCUACUGGGCACCAACUGACGCUG
rnacentral:rRNA from 1 species